rnacentral:lncRNA from 1 species
CAGGUCUACCUGCCACAACAGGACCAGUACAGCCUAAUACAAAGCAUUCAUCAGGGAGAAAACUCAAGGAGGAAAUAGUGUCCCAAAAGCCAUAAUGACAUCAAACAAUAGCAGUGUUCUUACAGCAUCAUAAGUGUGAGUUGUUCCUCUAUGAAUAUUCCCAUGGAAUGGUCCCUCAGGAAUGAUAUCUAUGCAUGGUAUCUCUCUCCCCACUCAUGGACUACCCUAUUGUGUGGAAUUGAGGAUUAUGAGCUGAAUUGA